rnacentral:rRNA from 1 species
AUUGAACGCUGGCGGCAUGCCUUACACAUGCAGGUCGAACGGUAACGGGCCUUCGGGUGCCGACGAGUGGCGAGCGGGUGAGUAAUACAUCGGAACGUGCCCGAUCGUGGGGGAUAACGAGGCGAAAGCUUUGCUAAUACCGCAUACGAUCUACGGAUGAAAGCAGGGGACCGCAAGGCCUUGCGCGGACGGAGCGGCCGAUGGCAGAUUAGGUAGUUGGUGGGAUAAAAGCUUACCAAGCCGACGAUCUGUAGCUGGUCUGAGAGGAUGAUCAGCCACACUGGGACUGAGACACGGCCCAGACUCCUACGGGAGGCAGCAGUGGGGAAUUUUGGACAAUGGGCGCAAGCCUGAUCCAGCCAUGCCGCGUGCAGGAUGAAGGCCUUCGGGUUGUAAACUGCUUUUGUACGGAACGAAAAGCCUUCUUUUAAUACAGGAGGGUCAUGACGGUACCGUAAGAAUAAGCACCGGCUAACUACGUG